AGAGGACCCAGGAGAUGAAUUGAUGGUGUUUCCCCAGCAGCCCCUCUGGGGAUAAUAUUUUUUUUCUGCCCUGCUCUGACAAUACCACCAUCACCUCUGCUUCUCCCCAGGAGCUCAGCCCAGUAAUUGCUUCAAUAUUGAUGAGUACAACCUACGCUGCUCUGUCUGCACAAGGCACCUACUGCUUCUACCCUUACUGUGUUCCAGUCUUGUAUUUCAGCUGUCUGCAUCUGAAGUGGUGGAGUAAACCCAAGCACCAACUCAAACAUCUGAGCAUCCACCUCUACUCAGGUAUUUGAAGCUCUCAUGGACACAGAAUAACUAAUGACUGAAAACAUAUUCUGAAUGAAAUAAAAAGU